UCAUUAUCAACCCUCAAGCCUGGCUUGCUGUUGGACCUCUCGUCGUUAAAGACGGGUCCUAAAGUUAAUGGCGGAGUCGUCAGACCCUAGAUGCAACGAGCUCUCGUAGCACGCAUUCAAGGGGCUGGCGGCUCUAGUCUCGACCCUUAUUUAUUUACAAGGUUGACCUCGGAUCAGGUAGGAAUACCCGCUGAACUUAA
rnacentral:misc_RNA from 1 species